UGUAAAUACCACUUCGAUCACCUUAUUUAUUAGAUAAAUGAAAAUGAUUAAUAACAAGAAGGAAAUGUAACUGUCAAUCGAUGGUAUAUAUGUUGUCUGAUAGUCUUUAGCAACAGCACACAUCAAGACACAGCAACAACACAAGGUAGCAAGACUGCAAACACACAAUGAAACGAGAAUUUUAAUAUCAAUUGAAAGUUGAUAUGUACUAAUAGUUUUUACUUUGAGAGAGGGAGAGAGUGGUGCCUAGUUACUAUCCUUUCCAAAAGCCAUCACCACCUUUGCUUUUGGUCUUUACACUUAAAGGGUUAUGUUGAGGAUAGCUUGCACCAUCAUUGGUGGGAUAACCGAUAGGUGGUGGUGGUGGUGAAACAUGAUGAUCUUGUGCGUACUCCAUUGGAUGAGCUGGUGGUGGUGGAUAUGCUGUCAUGGCUGGUCGAUAGAUAGCUGCAGACCGCGUAAUAUUGCUAUUACAUAUUACAUCAAACGCUAGAAAGAAUCCAUCAUGUUCUGAAUUAAAAGGUGUUGUUAUACUUACUAGGAACUUGUUGCUGGUCAUAGAGAGACAUUAUUAAAUACCACCAGAGUGAUAUGUGGUUGCAAAGAAAUUGUAGGUUUCUGGAGAAAAUAAGUCUUCAAGAGUGAAAUGCACGUCGAGCCGUUCUUGAAGGUUUAUUUGCAGUAAACGAAAGGACACAUUGCUUCUAGGACGGGGUUAAGUAGAGACUAGAGAAGUCUGCCAAACGCGUGGUUGAAAUUCAGCAAAAGACCUUAUUACUUGCUUGUUGCAUUGCCUUUGUACAUAUGCAAUUUUCCAUAUAUUCCACAUCCAUGAAAUUGACCUCUAAUUUUCUUUCUGUUCAUGGCCUGAACCUUUGAAUCUUGGAUAUUCAACAGGUCGAAAAUGGUUAGCAGGCGCG
rnacentral:misc_RNA from 1 species